UGAUUGUCAUCAACAUGACAAAUCAGAAUCUCGAGUGUGUGUCAUGUUUGGAAUACUAUUUGUUUUAAGAAAAUGUGCGACUGUAAAGAUUUUGUGAUUUUUUUAUUUGGUGUAACUUAUGAUUUUGCCCAAAAUAUUAGUGAUAAAAUGAUUUUGAUCAAGAACUUUUAGAUUAUCCACAAAUAACAACGUGAUGUUGCUUCAUAUACUGAAAAAAACCCAAACUGGCUACCUUGAAGAACUUUGAAUCACACCAAUCUCAAUAGGAGCAACAUGUUAUAUUUUGUCAUUCAGGACCUUUCUAAGUAACAAGAUAAACUUGAAGAUCUCUUUGAAGAAGUGGAUCAACUGGAAAACUGAAUGGAGGCAAUAUUCAAUAUAUAGGACACAGAAGAGAUUGAAUAAUAGUGCUUCAAAUUGUCUAUCUUGAAUUUUGACAAAAUUUAUGGAAUACCAUAGAACA
rnacentral:lncRNA from 1 species